CCAACCCUGCAGUGUUCGUUCAGGCCAUAUAUUCCUUGAACCAAUGCGAUGCAUGAGGUGAAGAGAAAACAGUGUGCCACUGUUGCGAUCGUCCCUCGUCGGAUGAACCUGAUGUGGCUGCUCUCUUUGCCGACCUGAACUGAAUCAACGGUUCAGGAUGCCGGCCAACCGGCACAGGCGGGGUUACC
rnacentral:sRNA from 1 species